GGUAUAAGCUUUCGUGUGCGUACAUACUUCUUCAGAUCUGAAGAAGUAUGUACGCACACGAAAGCUUAUAUC